UACGUAGGGCGCAAGCGUUGUCCGGAAUUAUUGGGCGUAAAGAGCUCGUAGGUGGUUUGUCGCGUCUGCCGUGAAAGCCCGGGGCUUAACUCCGGGUCUGCGGUGGAUACGGGCAGACUAGAGGCAGGUAGGGGAGAACGGAAUUCCCGGUGUAGCGGUGAAAUUCGUAGAUAUCGGGAGGAACACCAGUGGCGAAGGCGGCUCUCUGGGCAGAUACUGACGCUGAGACGCGAAAGCGUGGGUAGCAAACAGG
rnacentral:rRNA from 1 species